rnacentral:rRNA from 1 species
CCUACGGGUGGCAGCAGUGGGGAAUAUUGCACAAUGGGGGAAACCCUGAUGCAGCGACGCCGCGUGAGUGAAGAAGUAUCUCGGUAUGUAAAGCUCUAUCAGCAGGGAAGAAAAUGACGGUACCUGAUGAAGAAGCCCCGGCUAACUACGUGCCAGCAGCCGCGGUAAUACGUAGGGGGCAGGCGUUAUCCGGAUUUACUGGGUGUAAAGGGAGCGUAGACGGCAGGACAAGUCUGGAGUGAAAUGCCGGGGCUUAACCCCGGAACUGCUUUGGAAACUGUGCAGCUAGAGUGCGGGAAAGGUAGGUGGAAUUCCUAGUGUAGCGGUGAAAUGCGUAGAUAUUAGGAAGAACACCGGUGGCGAAGGCAGCUUGCUGGACUGUAACUGACGUUGAGGCUCGAAAGCGUGGGGAGCGAACAGGAUUAGAUACCCGAGUAGUC